GAUAAACGCUUGCGGCGUGCUUUAUGCAUGCAAGUCGAACGGUCUCGAUUUAUCGGGAUAGUGGCGAACGGGUGAGUAACACGUAAGUAACCUGCCCUUAAGUAUGGAACAACUCCGAGAAAUUGGAGCUAAUACCGUAUGUAAUAAUGAAGGUAAUGCUUUGUUAUUAAAGCCUUCGGGCGCUUAAGGAGGGGCUUGCGUCCGAUUAGCUAGUUGGUAGGGUAAUGGCUUACCAAGGCGAUGAUCGGUAGCUGGUUUGAGAGGACGGCCAGCCACAUUGGGACUGAGACACGGCCCAGACUCCUAUGGGAGGCAGCAGCAAGGAAUAUUGUGCAAUGGGCGAAAGCCUGACACAGCGACGCCGCGUGAGGGAUGAAGGCCCUUGGGUUGUAAACCUCUUUUCUCAGGGAAGAAUAAUGACAGUACCUGAGGAAUAAGUCUCGGCUAACUACGUG
rnacentral:rRNA from 1 species